rnacentral:rRNA from 1 species
AACGAACGCUGGCGGCAUGCCUAACACAUGCAAGUCGAACGAGACCUUCGGGUCUAGUGGCGCACGGGUGCGUAACGCGUGGGAAUCUGCCCUCUGGUACGGAAUAACUCAGGGAAACUUGAGCUAAUACCGUAUAAUGACUUCGGUCCAAAGAUUUAUCGCCUGAGGAUGAGCCCGCGUAGGAUUAGCUAGUUGGUGGGGUAAAAGGACCUACCAAGGCAACGAUCCUUAGCUGGUCUGAGAGGAUGAUCAGCCACACUGGGACUGAGACACGGCCCA